rnacentral:rRNA from 1 species
UUAAGUCCCGCAACGAGCGCAACCCUCGCCCUUACGUUGCCAGCAUUUAGUUGGGCACUCUAAGGGGACUGCCGGUGAUAAGCCGAGAGGAAGGUGGGGAUGACGUCAAGUCCUCAUGGCCCUUACGGGCUGGGCUACACACGUGCUACAAUGGUGGUGACAGUGGGCAGCGAGCACGCGAGUGUGAGCUAAUCUCCAAAAGCCAUCUCAGUUCGGAUUGCACUCUGCAACUCGAGUGCAUGAAGUUGGAAUCGCUAGUAAUCGCGGAUCAGCAUGCCGCGGUGAAUACGUUCCCGGGCCUU